UGUUUCUCUUCCAUAAAACAUCCCUGCUUCAAUGUUUUAGGGCCAUUAUAUUCCUCUGCUGUGUUGGGUGCUUUUUUGUUGCCGUGUUCUAUGUUGGCCAGGAAUAUAUUGAGCAGAAGACCUAUAUUGAUACAACUGUUGAUGACAAUGCUGCAGAUAUUGGUCAAACAUUAUCAACUGUUUUCUGCUUUAGGCCUGCGUUGAUAGGCAAUGAAAGUGCAGGUUUGAAAGAUGUUGUGAGUAGCCUCGUGACCCCACUGAAAAUUGGCUCAGGCUUUCUUUUCACUGGAG